UUGGAGGGCAAGUCUGGUGCCAGCAGCCGCGGUAAUUCCAGCUCCAAUAGCGUAUAUUAAAGUUGUUGCAGUUAAAAAGCUCGUAGUUGAAUUUCGGGGUUAGUAGGUUGGUCAUGCCUCCGGUAUGUACUGGUCUCACUGAUUCCUCCUUCCUGAUGAACCGUAAUGCCAUUAAUUUGGUGUUGCGGGGAAUUUGGACUGUUACUUUGAAAAAAUUAGAGUGUUUAAAGCAAGCUAACGCUUGAAUACAUUAGCAUGGAAUAAUGAAAUAGGACGUUCGAUCCUAUUUUGUUGGUUUCUAGGAUUGGCGUAAUGAUUAAUAGGGAUAGUUGGGGGCAUUAGUAUUCAAUUGUCAGAGGUGAAAUUCUUGGAUUUAUUGAAGACUAACUACUGCGAAAGCAUUUGCCAAGGAUGUUUUCAUUAAUCAAGAACGAAAGUUAGGGGAUCGAAGACGAUCAGAUACCGUCGUAGUCUUAACCAUAAACUAUGCCGACUAGGGAUCGGAUGAUGUUAAUUUUUUAAUGACUCAUUCGGCGCCUUACGGGAAACCAAAGUGUUUGGGUUC
rnacentral:rRNA from 1 species